GACGAACGCUGGCGGCGUGCUUAACACAUGCAAGUCGAACGAAGUGGCGAACGGGUGAGUAAUACGUGAGUAACUGCCCCCCUCUCUGGGAUAACAGUUGGAAAAGGCUGCUAAUACCGGAUAGUGGGGGAUGACUCGCGUCCUAUCAGCUUGUUGGUGGGGUGAUGGCCUACCAAGUCGGUGACUGGUAGCCGGCCUGGGAGGGUGACCGGCCACAGUGGGCUGGGCGACGGGCCCGAGUGCUACGGGAGGGAGCAGUGGGGGAUAAUGGACAAUGGGCUAAAGCCUGAUUGAGGGACGCCGGGUGGGGGAUGAAGGGUUGCGGGGUGUAAACCUCUGGCGCUAUCGAAGGGGUAGGUGGAGAAGAAGCUCCGGCUAACUACGUGCCAGCAGCCGCGGUAAUAC
rnacentral:rRNA from 1 species